rnacentral:rRNA from 1 species
GUGGUGGGGACUCAUGGGAGACUGCCGGGGUCAACUCGGAGGAAGGUGAGGACGACGUCAAAUCAUCAUGCCCCUUAUGUCUUGGGCUUCACGCAUGCUACAAUGGCCGGUACAAUGGGUUGCGAUACUGUGAGGUGGAGCUAAUCCCAAAAAGCCGGUCUCAGUUCGGAUUGGGGUCUGCAACUCGACCCCAUGAAGUCGGAGUCGCUAGUAAUCGCAGAUCAGCAACGCUGCGGUGAAUACGUUCCCGGGCCUUGUACACACCGCCCGUCAAGUCACGAAAGUUGGUAACACCCGAAGCCGGUGGCCUAACCCUUGUGGGGGGAGCCGUCGAAGGUGGGACCAGCGAUUGGGACU